rnacentral:rRNA from 1 species
UACAGAGGGUGCAAGCGUUAAUCGGAGUUACUGGGCGUAAAGGGCGCGUAGGCGGAUAUUUAAGUCGGAUGUGAAAUCCCUGGGCUUAACCUAGGAAUUGCAUUCGAUACUGGGUAUCUAGAGUAUGGUAGAGGAAAGUGGAAUUCCCGGUGUAGCAGUGAAAUGCGUAGAUAUCGGGAAGAACACCAAGGCGAAGGCAGCUUUCUGGACCAAUACUGACGCUGAGGCGCGAAAGCGUGGGGAGCAAACAGG